ACGUCCUCAAUAAAAAGAAUAAAAUUUCUUUAAAAUACUUCAAAAACUUCAAACUACUCCAAUGUUUGUAAACUGCUGUACUGAAACUUUAUUUCUUCAUUGUUGAAGUUCUUUGUUCCUGUCAUUGUAAAAUAAAUAUAAUGAACAAAAUUAGCGGACGCACAUACUAAAGAAAAUAUCUCUACAAGUAGCAUAUCAACAAAAUUAAAUAAAUAUUCAAAAUUAACUUAAGAGAUCCUGGUUCAGUUCUGUUCAAGAGCUAGACAAAGAUAAAUAAUAUACUCAAUUUAUAAGUAAGAGCAGAUUCUUUAUAGAAGAUGCUAAGCAAACUGAGAAGAGAAUAGACCCCUACAACUAAAAUAAAAUUCAAGGCAAAGGGAUGAAAUUCCAACCACAAUUACGCCACAAGAAAACUAAUAAAAACAUCUCAAGUACGCAGACAUAACAGCAUAUAGAGCUUAAGGGAUGAAAUUUUUUCAGAACCUUCCCGUGGACGUUGGAUUUCAAUCCUAAAGAGGAAACAUAUGUGGCAGUUGUGUAGAUUUCGUUUCCAGGAUUGCCGCCUAAUUUUUUUGCUAAGAGGUCACUGAUGACUAUUGCAUCUGCUGUGGAUAAAUCUCUUGCUGUCGACAAGGCAAAGCAGGAUCGAACAAGGCCUAGCGCUGCAAGGGUGAACAUCAUUCUUGAUCUCCUGGACUAACACCCUAAAAAGGAGAAUAUUCUGAUGGUGGACAGAGUUACGGGUAAAACAGUCAUGUUGUAUCAAGAAGUUGUAUAUGAUAAUCUUCCAAGUUAUUGCACGUACUGCAAGCAUCAAGGACACAGGGAAAAAUCGGGUCGAGUAAUGAAGAGUCAAGUUGCAGAGGAGAUGGACAAAACUGGUGCACCAGUGGAGAGUAAUCUGCCAAUUGUUGAUGUCUCCAUGACUGACCAGCUGAAAGGGGAUGCCAGGGAUUAUCUAACUGCUAAAAGAAUAGAACAAAGAGGUAAGAAAAGAGCAACAAUAGAAGGUAAAUUGACAGAGGAAGAAGAAAAAAAAAUUGGUUGAGAAAACAGGUGUUACAAAAUAAAGGAGGAAAAGAAGUUGUUAAUCAGAACAAUGAUAAUCGAGUUGCUUUUGGUGACUCUGCUGG
rnacentral:lncRNA from 1 species